UGUGUGUGUGUGUAUUAGCGUGUACCUGGUAGUGUGUGUACCCUUGUGUGUGUGUGUAUUAGUGUGUACCUGGUAGUGUGUGUACCUGUGUGUGUGUGUGUAUUAGUGUGUACCUGGUAGUGGGCCAGUGUGUUCAGCCUCUUCCAGUCGCUCUCUAUCUUUGUCGUCACGUCUUCGUCCUGCAGGAUGAUCCUGGUCAGUCGACCCUGUCGCCACUCUAUGACAUGACAAGCACACAAAGGUCACAUGCUGCGGUCACGUGACAGGAAGUGACACAGGAACAAGGGGCGGAGCCUCACCGAGGUCCAUGUCGUCGGCCUGAGGCCUCUGAGAGAAGGGGAUGCCUUUGUAGACGGCGUCGAGCAGCUUGUCCUUCACCUGGGUCACCGUGUCACAGUUCAACACCUUUACCGGGACCUCCGUCACCGCCUCGCCCUCCGGGGGGAUGCACAUCAGGGUCUGUUGGAGGGGUUCCGUUAAGUCUGUCCAAGCUUCACAACACGUUAUUGUCUUAAGGAAGCGUCUUUAAUGACUGGCUAUAUAUGUGUGUGUGUAUACGUGUGUGUGUGUGUGUGUGUGUGUGUGUGUGUGUGUGCGUGCGCGUGUGUAACCUGCUGCUUGUAGUCGAUCUGCUGUCUGAUCAGUUUGUCUUCACUCAGAGAAUAACGAGCUUCUCCUGUGAUCGCGUCGAUCGGACCUUUUUCCAUCUGCUGCUUUAUGGCACAAUACAACAUGAAGAGAGGCUCGCCUGCACACUCCUGAGAGACAGACAGGUGGAGACAGACAGGUGGAGAGACAGUGUCAGGAGUGAUUCCUUCACCUCAGCUUCAUCCACUAAAAGAUUCAAGCGGUCCUUCUAAUUUCCUGAGAAUUGAUCAAGCAGAGCUGUGAUCUGAUUGGUCGCAGUGGGACCGAAGAGGAGGAGCCUAACGGGGAGUCACCUUGAGGAAGCGAUGCAGCAGGAAGGUGAACCAGUUGGUCAGCAUCUUCUCAGCCACGGAUUCCGUCCUGAAAACACAUGCACACGGAGGUCAAAGGUCAGCUCCAGACGGCUCUACUGUGUGGCCUGGUUCAAAGGUCGACGGUCAAAGCAGGUGCACAGACCUCCUCAGCAGGAGCUUGGGAUGGUUUCGGUUCUCCAGGUUCUUCUCGAUCAGGUCGGCCAGCAGCUGUUUUAACACCACUGUAGCGUAUUCCAUACGACCCUAGAGACCAGUAGGGAGUCAGAUACUGACCACAAGCCCCAAACGUCUAUUAAACAACCUCUGUAACAACCUCUUCUCACUCCAAUCCUCAUCAUACUGGCAUCUGCAGGCAUCUGCAGUACUUAGGCCAUCAUACGAGUACCUGCAGAGCGGCCAUCAGCAGCGAGGCCACGUUGCCGCGGUCCCUCAUGGAGAACGACCUCUGGGCCUCCAGCGUGUGGAUGAAGGUCAGCAGGAACAUCUUGUUGUUGAGCAGCUGGCUGAAGAGACGCAGAGCCUUUUCCACGUUGGCUGGAGACUGAGGCAGAGACAACCAGAUGUACACACAAGUAUACACACAUAUCCAGAUGUGUGGAUGAACACAGUGGUGUGUGGGCUCCCUACGUCCAGCUCCUUCAGCACCGGGUGCUCCUCGAUGCCCGGGAACAUGACCCUCAUGGUGUAGGUCCGGUACUCCAGGAACGGGAUCUUCACCCCGUCCAUGUCGUUGGUCAGCUCCUGGAUGUCUGUCUGCAGCUCGGCGAAGGCUGCGAGGGGGAGGGGGGGGAGAGGAGGUCCCGUUUGAACAGAAAACCCUUUGUAUAUCAUUCGGAGGUUCUUUAUCGAGCCCCACGGUCUUUGAACACAUCGUGUGAUACUUCACACGUUGUGAGCAUCGUAUUGAGCUCCUCAGCGAACCGAUGACAUCCAGAUGAAUUAAGUCGUGUGAGUUGUCUGAACAUCAAUAAGACUCUUUUAGCGUAUCGUGUUAUUCUGCACUAGAGACGAGUUCUAGCUCCCUGCAUCCACAGAGAGGACACGUGAGGCGAGUUCAGGAGCAGAGGAAACCGGAAUAUCUGGUUGCCGGCGGCAACGGGGCCACCCCUGACCUCUGACCUCUGACUCACCCUCCUUGCACUCCAGCGCCACGCGGCUCUCCAGGUUGUCCAUCUGCAGCUGGAGGCGUUUGAGCGUGCGGUCGGCGUCGCGGGUCUUCCUCUUGUAGGCGAUGAGCACGGCGAUGAUGGCGAUGAGCAGCACGCCGCCGCCCGCCCCGAUGCCGAUGAUGGCGGGCAGCGUCAGGGCGCUGUCGGAGUAGAUGUGUAGCGUGCCCGGCGAGUACUCCAGACCCCCCACCAGGAUCUGGGAAGGGCGGGAGACUGAGUCAGGGCUGCACAGGGGUGGGAUAUCAAACGCUCCCUCAUUAGGACACAAGUCCACACUUCCUGUGUGUGUGUGCGACGAUAACUGUAAAUAUAUUUACACGUAUGAGGGCCGUCAACAUAAAAGCGUUAAUCUGUGCGAUUAAUGUGGCCGAGUUUAAUACAACUAAAUAUUUAUAAUUAAUGUUUGUUUGUUGAGUGCAGAAACGAAACGGCUGCAACUACCAACUGUACCGUAAUCAGACGAGUAUUUACCGCUAUAACGGUGGAUGAAAUCCAGCGCUCUGAUUGGUUGAGAGUCACGAGGGGCUCGUUAUUGGGCCUUAAAGUACAGAACCUGCUCACAUUGACCCGAUUGCUCCGUAUCACUGCGCACUCACAGGAGCAGCUGAGACUUUCUGCGACUCUUAGUUGACAUUUUAUCUUUUAGAUCGGUGGCGAUCGCCGAAAGGGAAAUCCCACAAAUGAUUUUGAUCAGUAUGAUCGGUUUGAUCAGUUUGAUCAGUUUGAUCGGUUUGAUCGGUUUGAUCAGUUUGAUCAGUUUGAUCGGUUUGAUCGGUUUGACAAUUGAGGUGGGCGUCCUGAGCGGUGUGAAUGAACGAGAUGAGCCGGUGCUGUUUACACGCAGGGUCUAUUUUCCUGUAGACGACUGAAAUGAGACACAACGUUUGGUGGCUACAACUACUUUGUGUUUACAGGCAGCUAUUUAUAAUCUCACUGGUGACGCGUUAUGAAAGCAAUAAGUUAUGAGCGGCUCUACUUUAUCUUCAAUAAUAACAGUUCGAGGGUUUCCGGCAAAACCAACGGUUUCAUUAUUGGACGAUAAGUACAGCCGCUCGUACCUUAUUUAAGUGUAGGAGCGUGUAAACAAACGAGAGGCAAGGAUUCCUUUUGGCUCAUAAUAGAUAUAUUUUGUAUUACUAUUGAAUGUAAGUGCAGAUAAGUGUAAAGAGACCCUCACGCAUGUGUAUAAAUAUAUACACACAUAUGUAUAUAUGCAGAUUUAAUACUGAUGGAGAUCAAUUACAAAAACAAUCUGAUGAAUACAUUAUGAAGACGAGGGAGAGAACUUGAAUAAUGUAUCAAUACUCCACCACAAGGCCUUCAGACAUCCACACGACCCGAACUCUUUCAACCGAGCUGGUCUGCUGAGUGUGUUGAUUCUGCUGUUUUACGUUAAUUGAAUUGCUGGUUGUCUUUCGCUCUUGCUGUUUCUUCGUGGCUGGACUGACAGACUCUAGAUUACAGUGAAUUGAGGGACAGUGUGUCCUCUUAUCUUUGCUUUGUCUUCUGAAGCAAAACCCACUUGCAUCAUUGAAACUCUUAGUUUGUCAAAACCACUCUCCGCUCUGCAUGUGAUAAACUGCUUGUUCCUCCUCACUGAGAGCAAAACACUGGACUAGAUCUCCACUCUUUGCUGUCCUGCUCCUAAAUGGUGGAAGGAGGUCUCUGAAGACAUCAGGACCACAGAGAGCCUUCACAUCUUCAGACUAAAGACACACCUCUUCACACUCUUCCUCCACUAACACACUAACUGCAGCACUUACAUUGGACUUAUAAUGGUUCUUAUCUACAGCGAGUUGUACAUCGGCUUAUUUGAUGAAAUCACUCUGUUGUUUCUGGCUCUUCUGAGUUUGUGUCCUUAUUGUAAGUCGCACAAAUGACAUGUGCUGUAACGUGUGUGUGUGUGUCACACUCUGAUAUGUGACUUCAGACCAAUUACCCAUGAUCCCGUGGGGCUGCAGUUAACAACUUUCACCUUUCUAUAGAUGUGACUUCCUCGCCUCUGACCUUCCUUUCCUUGUCUCCUUCCUUUGUUCCUCCUGUGACCUACUAUUGUCUCUCCAUGUCCUUCCUCACGUUUGUUUGCUGCUGCCUUUAAUUGACCGUUUCUUCUUAAAGACAUUCUUAAGUUACACUGCAAAUCUUUUAACGCCUUUUUUAUCGUUUUAAUGACUGUUUUUCUUUUGUUUCAAUGUAUCAAUGUUCUUAAGUGUAUAAAUCUCCUUGCUUGUUUUUAAUGGUUUUGUGUGACUCUGAAUUUCCUUGCCUUAUCUCCUUUCCUAAUCUCCUUUUCUUAUACUUCUUUAUUCUGCUCUUCUCUUUUUCUCUACCUAGUCUCCAAUUUCUUUCCUCCUUUCCUUAACUCCUCUUCUUCUUUCCUUGUUUCCUUUCCUCUACCUAAUUCUCCCCAUUGUUUGGCUCUCCUUUCCUCCCCCCUCUUCUCUCAAGCCCCGCCCCCACGCUGGAGGGGGCGGGGCUACGCAUAUAUCACUCACCAGAACUCGCUGUUCUCCGGUGAGAUCCGGCGAAUCACAGAGCAGCUGGUUCUCCGACACGGUGAGGAGACACGGGGACUCCCCGAUGAGCACGGUGUAGUUCAGCCGGUUGUUGCCGGGGGCAACAGGGACCAGGUUCUUCCCCUGGGGACCCGAGAGGUACUCUUACUACAGCACGACUGCACAGGUUAAAGCACUACAUGUACCUCUGUACACUGACCUUCAGGAUGAUCGGUGACCCCGGUUUGACCUCCAGGAUGCCAGAGCUCCCCAGGGGGGUCAAAGGUGGGGUUGGGGUAGUGUGUGAAGGGGGUGGAGUUCAGGACCAGCAGAGAGGAGACCUGGAGAGGACAUCAGGGACGAAAUAUCAGAUCCAACUUGCACAGAGGACAGGCAGUGGGACAGCGGCGUGCAGUGUAGGGGGGCGCUGUUCCUGGGUCCUGUAUCACUACCAUCAUUACUACUAAUACUACAAAUACUACUCCUACCACUGCAAAUAUUAACUGAACUAACUACUUCUGAAGACAUUUGACUCGACCCAUGAAGCUGUGUAUGUGUGUGUAACUGUAUGUGUGUGUGUGUGUGUGUGUGUGUCACCUGGUCAAAGAUGAAGCCGAACUCAUCGGGGUGCAGCGCCCCCUCUGGUGGGUCCGGCUCGCCGUAUAUCAGACCGGGCGCCAAACACGUCAUCGUGCUGUCGUUCAGGGCAGAACAGAACUAGGGAGAGAAGAGUCAUCGGUUAAAGCUGCGUUCUGUGCAGUGACCAGCAGGGGGCGACUCCUCUGCUCCCAUAGACGUCUAUGAGGAAAUGACUCUACUUCUCUGUAGUGACCAGCAGGGGGCGACUCCUCUGCUCCCAUAGACGUCUAUGAGGAAAUGACUCUACUUCUCUGUAGUGACCAGCAGGGGGCGACUCCUCUG
ensembl:lncRNA